CACUGUAUAAGUUCUCAUGGUUUUGGACUGCACAGUGAGCUCACUAUGAAGUAGUUUGGAUGUCCCAAGCCCUUCAGAUGCUCCUGCCUUUGCACCACAGACCGGGAUUACUGAUGCACGGCACCCUUCCUGAUUUUUGCUCGGAAGAUCUAAAUCCAGGACCUUAUGGUUAUGAAACAACACUAUCUCAGCUCCUCGGCAGCCUUUUCUUAAUAUUCUCCUGAGUGUGCAACCCCAGGCCAAUCAUCACACUAGCAGUUGCUGCCCUCCAGCUUGAGCAAAGGCUUAUCAGCUUUUUCCCUGUGCAACACCUGCUCAUCUCUUGAGACCUGGAUCAAGAUUCUCCGUGUGAAGUCUUUGGUCUUAUCUCCUUUCACUCUCCUAUGCAGAGUGAUAAGAAGAAAAAUAACAAUGAUCUACAAGUUUACCUGUGCAAAACUAAUGUCUUACACAUACAAAACACUUGGCCCAGGUAUCUGCUUGAGCUGUGUUCUCAUGCUGAUGCAUUUUCUCCAUUGACCCUCCCAGGAAUUUGAAUUUGGCAUUUAUAUUAUCUUCCUUUCACAAAAAAAGAAAUUGAAGGGCAGAAAGUUUGUCAUUUGCCCAAAGUCACAGAGUCUGUAAGUGCUGCUCUUGGGGUCUGACCCCAGAGAGUCUGGUGAAAGCAUUCAGCUUGUGAUCACGGUGGAAAG
rnacentral:lncRNA from 1 species